rnacentral:rRNA from 1 species
AUGGCCGGGAGGAAGGGCGGCGAGAGGAAGAAGUCGGUGACCCGGUCCGUGAAGGCCGGGCUCCAGUUCCCCGUCGGCCGCAUCGGGCGCUUCCUCAAGAAGGGCCGCUACGCGCAGCGCGUCGGCUCCGGCGCCCCCGUCUACCUCGCCGCCGUCCUCGAGUACCUCGCCGCCGAGGUCCUGGAGCUGGCCGGCAACGCGGCCAAGGACAACAAGAAGACCCGCAUCGUGCCGCGGCACCUGCUGCUGGCCGUCCGCAACGACCAGGAGCUCGGCAGGCUGCUCGCCGGCGUCACCAUCGCCCACGGCGGCGUGAUCCCCAACAUCAACCCCGUGCUGCUCCCCAAGAAGUCCGCCGCCGCCGCCGAGAAGGAGGCCACCAAGUCGCCCAAGAAGAAGGCCGCCGCCAAGUCCCCCAAGAAGAAGCCCGCCGCCGCCGCCUGGUCUGGAGUUGCAAGC